rnacentral:rRNA from 1 species
AGAGUUUGAUCAUGGCUCAGAUUGAACGCUGGCGGCAGGCCUAACACAUGCAAGUCGAGCGGUAGCACAGAGAGCUUGCUCUCGGGUGACGAGCGGCGGACGGGUGAGUAAUGUCUGGGAAACUGCCUGAUGGAGGGGGAUAACUACUGGAAACGGUAGCUAAUACCGCAUAAUGUCGCAAGACCAAAGUGGGGGACCUUCGGGCCUCAUGCCAUCAGAUGUGCCCAGAUGGGAUUAGCUAGUAGGUGGGGUAACGGCUCACCUAGGCGACGAUCCCUAGCUGGUCUGAGAGGAUGACCAGCCACACUGGAACUGAGACACGGUCCAGACUCCUACGGGAGGCAGCAGUGGGGAAUAUUGCACAAUGGGCGCAAGCCUGAUGCAGCCAUGCCGCGUGUGUGAAGAAGGCCUUCGGGUUGUAAAGCACUUUCAGCGGGGAGGAAGGCGGUGAGGUUAAUAACCUCAUCGAUUGACGUUACCCGCAGAAGAAGCACCGGCUAACUCCGUGCCAGCAGCCGCGGUAAUACGGAGGGUGCAAGCGUUAAUCGGAAUUACUGGGCGUAAAGCGCACGCAGGCGGUCUGUCAAGUCGGAUGUGAAAUCCCCGGGCUCAACCUGGGAACUGCAUUCGAAACUGGCAGGCUAGAGUCUUGUAGAGGGGGGUAGAAUUCCAGGUGUAGCGGUGAAAUGCGUAGAGAUCUGGAGGAAUACCGGUGGCGAAGGCGGCCCCCUGGACAAAGACUGACGCUCAGGUGCGAAAGCGUGGGGAGCAAACAGGAUUAGAUACCCUGGUAGUCCACGCCGUAAACGAUGUCGAUUUGGAGGUUGUGCCCUUGAGGCGUGGCUUCCGGAGCUAACGCGUUAAAUCGACCGCCUGGGGAGUACGGCCGCAAGGUUAAAACUCAAAUGAAUUGACGGGGGCCCGCACAAGCGGUGGAGCAUGUGGUUUAAUUCGAUGCAAC